rnacentral:rRNA from 1 species
AGCGAACGCUGGCGGCAGGCCUAACACAUGCAAGUCGAGCGGCCGUAGCAAUACGGCAGCGGCAGACGGGAGAGUAACACGUGGGAACGCGCCCUUCGGUCUGGAAUAACCCAGGGAAACUUGGGCUAAUACCGGAUACGCCCUUACGGGGAAAGAUUUAUUGCCGAAGGAACGGCCCGCGUCCGAUUAGCUAGUUGGUGAGGUAACGGCUCACCAAGGCGACGAUCGGUAGCUGGUCUGAGAGGAUGACCAGCCUCACUGGGACUGAGACACGGCCCAGACUCCUACGGGAGGCAGCAGUGGGGAAUAUUGGACAAUGGGCGCAAGCCUGAUCCAGCCAUGCCGCGUGGGUGAUGAAGGCCUUAGGGUUGUAAAGCUCUUUUGUCCGGGACGAUAAUGACGGUACCGGAAGAAUAAGCCCCGGCUAACUUCGUGCCAGCCGCCGCAGUAACAC